CAACUACUCGCUCUGUCCCAAAUUUCUUGUCUUUGAUUUGUCUAGAUACAGAUGUAUCUAAUACUAAAAUGUGACUUGAUACAUCCGUAUCUACACAAAUCUAAGACACGAAUUUUGGGACAGAGGGAGUACUUU
rnacentral:pre_miRNA from 1 species